rnacentral:rRNA from 1 species
GAGGGAUCAUUACCGAGUCUUCCAACUCCCAAAACCCCUGUGAACAUACCAAUUGUUGCCUCGGCGGAUCAGCCCGCUCCCGGUAAAACGGGACGGCCCGCCAGAGGACCCCUAAACUCUGUUUCUAUAUGUAACUUCUGAGUAAAACCAUAAAUAAAUCAAAACUUUCAACAACGGAUCUCUUGGUUCUGGCAUCGAUGAAGAACGCAGCAAAAUGCGAUAAGUAAUGUGAAUUGCAGAAUUCAGUGAAUCAUCGAAUCUUUGAACGCACAUUGCGCCCGCCAGUAUUCUGGCGGGCAUGCCUGUUCGAGCGUCAUUUCAACCCUCAAGCCCCCGGGUUUGGUGUUGGGGAUCGGCGAGCCCUUGCGGCAAGCCGGCCCCGAAAUCUAGUGGCGGUCUCGCUGCAGCUUCCAUUGCGUAGUAGUAAAACCCUCGCAACUGGUACGCGGCGCGGCCAAGCCGUUAA